ensembl:snoRNA Gm26419 small nucleolar RNA SNORA17
UCUGCCCCUAGAGGUGUGCAGGCUUGACUGCUGUGUCACAUGUGCAUGAGUAGUGGCAGAGAGGAGAGGCUAUGUCUACUCUGUGUUCUGACCUGUGGACAUCUGAAUGAUCAGUAGCCUAACAUU